rnacentral:RNase_P_RNA from 2 species
UAAGUAAGACAGACGAUCGCGGCUGCAUGAGAUCGAAAGAUCGCAGGCGAGGAAAGUCCGGGCUUCAAAGGGCAGGAUGCCGGAUAACGUCCGGUGGAGGUGACUCCAAGGCUAGUGCAACAGAAAUGAACCGCCAGGCAUGCCUGGUAAGGGUGGAAGGGCAGUGCAAGAGACUACCGCUUUCCUGGUAACAGGAGAGGCAUAUGUAAACCCCAUUCGAAGCAAAACCGAAUUAAGACUAUGCGGCUGCCCGUCGCGUCUUAGGUAGGUUGCUUGAACCUGAUGGCGACGUCAGGUCUAGAUAGAUGAUCGUUCAACGACAUAACCCGGCUUAUCGUCUUGCUUAAUUU